GUUCUUUUUGCACAUCUAUGGUUUAUGCCAGUCUGUGGAAUGUCAUGGCAUAAAAUCAUUUUCUUAUCGGAGUUGAUCAAAGAAACAUCGUGGAAUACAGAGGCCCCCUUGCCAAUUGCUGCCUGGAAGAUAAUUUGAUCAGAAGAAUUGCAUAUGUUGGAGCACAAUCUUCAUGUUAUCAAGAAUUUUAAAGAACGACUUUGUGCUCAUACACUAUUUUAUUCAUUUACUAGAAGGAAAUUACACAGAAUAGUUCUUAGAAUUUGAUUGAAAAUGAAGAUGCAGAUAAUGACUAUUUUGUGCUUCUCUGGAGCAACUGCAUAGUUCACGAAGGCAGCUUUGGUGCAGAUUGAAAAUUCAAACUCUACACAGAGCCCAUCACAAUGGAUUGUUUGAUCCUGGUUCAACUGCCAAUUCAAAAA